GGACGUGAGGAGCAUCUGGCAGGGACACCGUCGCCCCACUGAUCCCCAGGGCUGGUUCAGGUGACCGGGCUGGUCAAGCGGGCGUCCCCUUCCCCCCGCAUCCCGCGCUCCCUGCGCACCCCUCCGGGAGCUGUGCACUCAGCCGAGGAGGACAACCAAUGGGGAGGACUGGUCUUUGGUCAAGGGUGCACGAGUAGCUAUGCUCGCCUGCUAGAGCCUCCAGACAAGCUCGCCGAAGGCCCCGAGCAAAAGCGGCUCUUGUCCUGCAGGUGAGGAGCAGGGGCGUUGCUUCACCAUCGAGUACGUGAU
ensembl:misc_RNA 7SK 7SK RNA